AACGAACGCUGGCGGCAUGCCUAACACAUGCAAGUCGAACGAGAUCUUCGGGUCUAGUGGCGCACGGGUGCGUAACGCGUGGGAAUCUGCCCUUUGGUUCGGAAUAACAGUUGGAAACGACUGCUAAUACCGGAUGAUGACGAAAGUCCAAAGAUUUAUCGCCAGAGGAUGAGCCCGCGUAGGAUUAGCUAGUUGGUGUGGUAAAGGCGCACCAAGGCGACGAUCCUUAGCUGGUCUGAGAGGAUGAUCCGCCACACUGGGACUGAGACACGGCCCAGACGCCUACGGGAGGCAGCAGUGGGGGAUAUUGGACAAUGGGCGAAAGCCUGAUCCAGCAAUGCCGCGUGAGUGAUGAAGGCCUUAGGGUUGUAAAGCUCUUUUACCCGGGAUGAUAAUGACAGUACCGGGAGAAUAAGCUCCGGCUAACUCCGUGCCAGCAGCCGCCGCCG
rnacentral:rRNA from 1 species